GUAGUUGCCCGAAAACAAGCUCACAGUGGAUUUAAGCCACUUCCUGGGUAGUUUGAACUUGUUUGUUUUUCACAUGCAUCAGAUCUACAUGGACAUGUCUCAGCAGAUGGGUGAGCAGUGCUUACACAGUGUCAAAGACCUUCCAGCUUCUCACUCUGCCCUGCUGGCAAGGAGGCUGGGAGAGCACAAGAACUGGGAAAGGGGACAGUCAGAACAGCCCUAGGUUCUGCAUUCACAAGUCAACCUAUGAAAUGACCACCUGACUGAUGCGCACGAGAAAUGGAGAGCAGCAAGCUUGCAUGAGAUGAGCCUCAUCAAAAAUGAACCACAUAUGCAAAGCCAGCAUGUACAUUAAGUUCACGCUGACAAGCUGCAGCUGGUUUCAGGUACACCAGUUGAUGAAGUCUACCAGGAUGUGGUCAACAAUAUAGUAAGCUACACUUAAUAUGACUUUCCCCACAGGCAUUUGCAGCAAACCCACAGCUUUUUUGGAGGUAACUUCACUGCACAACUUUCAACCUGCUGGAUAAAUUGUAAUGGUUAUUCACUGUUGGUAUAGUAGCUAUUUCCAUCCUUGAGCUCAUGUCAUUUAUCUUCUUUCUUUCUUUCCUGAAUGGCUGAAAGUGUAAAAUAAUACUUGAUGAUUAGUUAGGUACCUUUUGGGUAUAAAACUUCAAAGAAGGUGAAGUAAUGAAGAAAACAUAAUAAUCAAAGUUUCCACCUAGAUUUAUUACUAUUCCUAUGAAUAUUUUUCAAUUUUUAGAAUGCAUGACAUAGAGAAAAAAAACACGUGAUGCUUUCAGUUUUUAACACUCCAUUUAUUAACAGUAGUUCCAUUCAAUGCCUAUAAAAAUUUAGUGAAAUCUAUAAGCAAUGAAGCUUCUUUAGCAUCCAAAAGUAUGCUAGAAGUUUUCAGUUUUCACAACAAUCAAAUGCAAGUUUCCAUUUUGAAUUAUGAUCUAAUGACUAAGACACAAGAAAUUUACCUCUCAUACACUUCAGUAAGGACCUCACUCUGUUCUAGGCAUCCUGUAAAAUACAGUGGGAUGUACAUGACAUAAAUAAACAGUCACAGUCAACGUGAUCUUUGUUCUUUCUCUUUAUUCUGAUUCAUGUUUGCCUUUUACUAUAUCUAAUUAUGCAUAUAGGUAGAGUCAUAAGUCUGCCAUUCAAUUAUUUUGUGGUAAGACUAUUCCAAUGGUGGGCUGUCCUCUGUGAUAAGGCACAUGCCAUACUCUCUCAAUUAAAUCAGAACAGAGCGUUUGAUAAAGAUGUCAUAACUUUACCACACUUUACCUAUUUGUGUCAAUGUUUGCUAGACAAAAUUUAUGGAAAAACAUCAAUUAGACAGUUUGGGUGCCUUUGAGAGCCUCCUAGGAUUCUGGGUGAAACUCAUGAUUAAUCUGUACUGUAGCUGUUUCUUUCAAAAGUCAGGAAUCUUAUUUUUCUUCAGGGAGGGGAGUGGUGAAAAAGGGACUUAGAUUUUAGCUCACAAGUGGCAUUUUUAUGGAUGAUUUCAUAAAAAGCCACGCAAAAGGAUUAAAUGCAAUUCUUGUCAGAGAACUGAUGAGCAUUUGUAAAAAUAGAAAAUAUUUGGAUUCAAAUAUUUGUGAAAGGUAUUUAAAGCAUCACAAGGCACUUUUUCAGCCAGAACUUUUUCAGUUAAGCAAGUAUUCAGACUGGAGCUACUUAAGGUAAAUUUAGAGAUUUCCACACGUGAUCCACAGAUUACAGGUCUACAAUUCUGUUUCUAGACCUGGAGAUCCAGUGUCAACUCUGAGGUCAACCAAGUAUUGAACCACACACUAGCUAUUCCUUCAGUGAGGUUCAAAAAAGUCUGCGACUUCCCUCUGCUCCACAAAGC